AAAACAGAAAAAAAAAAAAAAAAGAACCCCAUAUAAUUUCUCUGAUUUUCACCACACAAAAAACAGAAACACAAACCCAAAAAAAAAAAACCACACCAUGGCCACCACCCCUCUGCACUUUCCGAUGGCCUCUUCACUUCCCUCAGCUUCAACUUCCUUAUCACAGUCCCUAAGAAGAAGAAGCACAAAGGGUAGUUUCAGAAAUUUGAGGACUACCCUUUGUGCCAUUAAUGCCCAAAACAAAUCCAAAAUCCCCAUUCCCCCAUUCAACCCUAAGGACCCGUUUCUUUCCCAACUCGCUUCUGCUGCUUCCAACUCCCCAGAAACGUUUCUUCACAAGCCUGUCAAGUCUGAUACUCCUCCUUACUUGGAUUUGUUUGACUCUCCUAAGCUCAUGGCUACACCUGCCCAAGUGGAAAGGUCGGUUUCCUAUGAGCAAAGGCCAAGAAGGCCUCCACCGGACUUGCCUUCAUUGCUUCUUAAUGGGAGGAUUGUUUACAUUGGCAUGCCUUUGGUGCCAGCUGUGACGGAGCUCAUUGUAGCAGAAUUGAUGUACCUGCAGUGGUUGGAUCCCAAAGAACCAGUAUAUAUUUAUUUAAAUUCUACCGGAACAACUCGUGAUGAUGGUGAAACAGUUGGGAUGGAGACAGAGGGUUUUGCAAUCUACGAUGCAAUGAUGCAAUUAAAAAAUGAGAUACAUACCGUUGCUGUUGGGGCUGCUAUAGGUCAGGCUUGUCUACUACUUGCGGCUGGAACUAAGGGUAAACGGUUUAUGAUGCCGCAUGCCAAGGCCAUGAUCCAACAACCUCGUAUCCCAUCAUCUGGGUUGAUGCCUGCUAGUGAUGUUCUAAUCCGUGCAAAAGAGGUAAUUACAAACAGGGACACACUUGUAAAACUUCUGUCUAAGCACACUGGAAAUUCAGAGGAGACCAUAGCUAAUAAGAUGAGGAGACCAUUUUAUAUGGAUUGUACAAAAGCUAAGGAUUUCGGGGUCAUAGACAGAAUUCUUUGGCGUGGUCAAGAAAAGAUAAUGCACGAUGUUGCCUCUCCAGAGGAAUGGGACAAGCUGGCUGGCAUCAAAGCUGUAGAUGGAAUUUAGUCUCUCUUUAGCAAUAUACAUCAUGCAAGUGAUUUGAAAUCUGACUAUCAUCUAAGCGAGGCCAUUAAAGAAAAUUAGUCACUGAUAUAGGGAUCAUUUCUAAUUUCUUGCAAGGAAAUAGGUAGCUACUUCUUCUGAGAAAGUUUUGGUGGACCUAUUAGCUGGAAUAUCUGAUUCAUGUGCAGUCUCAAAGCUUUAUCCUUGUGAACGAUAUUCUUGUGCACAAACAGGCUGAGAAGUGACGGGAGGGUGGCUUCAAAUUUUACAUUGAUAAUCUGUACAUGUUUUUAAUAAUAUGUAAUAUUUAAGUUUUUUAAUCUUCACUUACAUGUUUAAUUUUCUCAUUCUAACAUAGAGAGCAUUUCCAUUUUCUUAAGAGCAACUUGAUUUCUUGUUUGGAGCCAGGGUUGGACCCAUGAUCAUCUACUAUUCCGUUUGGUAUUAUUGGCCCUAAAUGAAAUGUGCUGCGUUUAAUUCUUA